rnacentral:rRNA from 1 species
UACGAAGGGGGCUAGCGUUGCUCGGAAUUACUGGGCGUAAAGGGCGCGUAGGCGGACAGUUUAGUCAGAGGUGAAAGCCCAGGGCUCAACCUUGGAAUUGCCUUUGAUACUGGCUGUCUUGAGUUCGGGAGAGGUGAGUGGAAUGCCGAGUGUAGAGGUGAAAUUCGUAGAUAUUCGGCGGAACACCAGUGGCGAAGGCGACUCACUGGCCCGAUACUGACGCUGAGGAGCGAAAGCGUGGGGAGCAAACAGGG